rnacentral:rRNA from 1 species
CAAUAGCGUAUAUUAAAGUUGUUGCAGUUAAAAAGCUCGUAGUUGGAUUUUGAGUUUGGUAAAAUCGGUCUGCUUUUUGCAGUACUGACUUGCCUGCUCUUCUUCUCGAGGCCUAUGGAUGUACUUAACCGUAUGUUCAUAGUGUUCGGGACUUCUACCGUGAGAAAAUUAGAGUGUUCAUAGCAGGCUUUUGCUUGAAUAUUGCAGCAUGGAAUAAUGGAAUAGGAUCAUGAUCUUAUUUUGUUGGUUUCUAAGAUCAAGAUAAUGAUUAAUAGGGAUAGUUGGGGGCAUUAAUAUUUAGUUGUCAGAGGUGAAAUUCUUAGAUUUACAAAAGAUUAACUUCUGCGAAAGCAUUUGCCAAGGAUGUUUUCGUUAA